UUUUUUUUGAGACAGAGUCUUGCUCUGUCAUCCAGGCUGGAGUGCAGUGGCGUGAUCUCGGCUCACUGCAAGCUCCACCUCCCAGGUUUGUGCCAUUCUCCUGCCUCAGCCUCCCGAGUAGCUGGGACUACAGGCGCCCGCCUCCAUACCCAGCUAAUUUUUUGUAUUUUUAGUAGAGACGGGGUUUCACUGUGUUAGCCAGGAUGGUCUCAAUCUCCUGACCUUGUGAUCUGCCCAUCUCGGCCUCCCAAGGUGCUGGGAUUACAGGUGUGAGCCACUGCACCCGCCCAAAAAUGUCUUAUAGACUGAAGAGUCCUGCUACUGCAAAGUCAGCAUUUUUCUGGCGUGGCCAUUUGGUAGAACUGACAUUGCUAAAUCUGAUUAUCAUUAGACAAUACUGUCACCCUGAACAUGACUGGGCUUCCCUUUGUUGAUAAGCCCCAUGUUCUUAAAUUCUCCCCAUCUUAUGAGCUAGAGAAGUAAUUUUUUUUUUUUUUUUUUUUUUUUGUAGACAGUUUCCCUCUGUCACCCAGACUGGAGUACAAUGGCACGAUCUUGGCUCACUGCCACCUCUACCAUCUGGGCUCAAAGUGAUUUUUGUGCCUCAGCCUCCCAAGUAGCUGGGAUUACAGGCAUGUGCCACCAAGCCUGGCUAAUUUUUGUAUUUUUAGUUGAGACAGAGUUUUACCAUGUUGGCCAGGCUGGUCUCAAAUUCCUGGCCUCAAGUGAUCUGCUCACCUUAGCCUCCCAAAGUGGUAGGAUUACAGGUGUGAGCCACCGCACCCGGCCUGAGAAGUAAUUCUUAAUAUGGAUUUUAAGGUUAGUUUCCAUUCAUCCUCAUUUCUCUCUUUGUUUUUAAAAUUUGUUUAGAGACGGGGUCUUGCUAUGUUGCCCAGGCUGGUCUUGAAUUCCUGGGCUCAAGUGAUCCUCCUGCCUUGGCCUCCCAAAGUGUUGGGAUUACAGGCGUGAGCCACUGCACUUGGCCUCAUCCUCACUUCUCUUUACAGCAUUUUCAUUUUCUUCCACUAACAAGGCUUCAUGGGACACUUUCGUGCUGUGCUCACCAUUAUGGUACAAGGGAAGUAUUCAUUCAGCAAACAUUUAUCAAGUGCCUGUAUGUGCAGCCUGUGUCCCAGCUCCUUGGCAUUUAAGGAAUAUGGUUUCUGGGUGAUCUAGAGGGGAAAUGAGCUGGUAAACAUAAUCAGUUAUAUACUGAAACUGCAGUCAGUACAGAAGUAUUAUUUAGGUACAAAUUGACCAAUUCUGGAUAAGUUUGGAUGGCAUCACAGAGAAGUUCUGAAUAGCAUUCAAGCCUACAAGGUGCUGAAAUCUUGUUAGAGAGAAAAGAUACAUAUACUGAAGUAAAGGCGAGAACGUUAUCAUAUGUACAGAGAUACAAAAGUACUAACAUGAUGUAGGCCAGGGGUUGGCAAACACUUUCUGUAAAGGACCAGAUGGUAAAUAUCUUAGGCUUUGGGGGCCAAUGUAGAUGGUAUGAAGAUGAAUGGGUGUGACGGGGUUCCCAUAAAACAUUAUUUACAAAAACAGGUAAAGGUCUAAAUUUGUCCCCAGAGCUGUAGUUUGCCAAUGGCUGAUAGAAGAUACUAGUGAAAAAAUUGAACUGUAUGGCCAGGCACGUUGGCUCACGCCUGUAAUCCCAGUACUUUGGGAGGCCGAGGUGGGCGGAUCACCUGAGGUCAGGAGUGCAAGACCAGCCUGACCAACAUGGAGAAACCCCAUCUUUACUAAAAAUACAAAAUUAGCUGGGCGUGGUGGCGCGUGCCUGUAAUCCCAGCUACUCAGGAGGCUGAGGCAAGAGAAUCGCUUGAACCCGGGAGGUGGAGGUUGCGGUGAGCCAAGAUCGUGCCAUUGCACUCCAGCCUGGGCAACAAGAGUGAAACUCCGUCUCAAAAAAAAAAAAAAUUGGACUGUAUAUGAUGCCAAUUUUUCAGAAGAAAUAAGGUCAGAAGGAGAAAUGAGAGAGUAAAUAUAUUAGCACUGCAAAAAAUGGCUUCUUAGAGGUAAUGGGAUUUGACCUGGGCUUCAAAAGAUGGAAAAAGAUUGAGAAAACUAGAGGAUGUAUCAGUUCUUCAAAGUGAAGGGACCAACAUAAGCAGAGUCAGAAAGUCCAAGUGCAUGUGUGCAGGGGGCAGAGAAGAGACCACCAGCUUGAAGAAUUCUUCCUGAGAAAUAAUAGGAGGUAAAAUUGGGUUGUUAGGGUGGGGCCAAAUUAUAGAGGGCCUGCACAGGAAGGCAGAGGAAUUUGGAUUUGAUGUGGGAGUCAGUGAGGCUUUCUAAAUUAUUGAGUAGUGGUUUAAGAGGUUACCCUGCUGCGUGAUACAGGAGAAAUGAAAGAAUCUAAGAGCAGCCAGCAAUCCAGACAGGGGUAAGGGGUCACACGGUGGAGGCAGUAGGAGUCACAGGCCAAAUCUGAGAGUUGCAGCGGAGGAGUCCCUUGUGAGUCUUCUGAUGCCUGAGGAUGAGAGAGGAAGAAGAAGGCAAGAGAGGUGACUCCAUCAAUUAUAGUUGUGCCUUUAAUUUUAAAAAGGACAAAUGAGCAAAUCUGGGUCUUGGUAGUAAUGUUUGAGUUUGGCUUUAGACAUGGUGAAUUACCUGCAAAUGAUGAACUAAGGGGUAGUAUUCUGAAGAUCUAAAAUAGGCAUUGGGGAGUCCCUCUGAGCCUUUUCUGGCUCAGGAGGUUGCCGAUAAAAUUUUAAAAAAUAAAAUAGGCAUCGGAAUCCAUGAAACGUAUGGUUUCUCUAAGGGAGGCAAGUUAGAAAUGAGCAGAAACAGAGGCAGGGGCUAGGGCUAAGGGCCUGGCUUGUGGAGUCUGAAGAUGAGUCAGUAAAAAAGCUGCUUGAGACACCAGAGAGGAACUGAGAAUGAAUAAUAUCCUUGAAGAAGAGAGAACCAUUGUUUCAAGAGGAGGAUGAAGAUGCAAAUAGUCAGAGGAUAAGAAACUCUUUAAGCCUCCAGUGUUAGUAUUUGUGGACUGCAAACUAGGAGCAGAUCUUUUGAGUGAAGCCGUUCAGAAAAUCACAGGGCUGAAAAGCAUAUCUAUACAUUCAGAGAAGUCGCAAAUAGAAAGGAAAAACAUAUUGAAGAUUGGAAGAGUAGGAAGAUUAGGUCAAAAUGGAACAGCGAUUACUUUCAUCAAUAAUAAUUCAAAAAGACUCUUCUGGGAUAUUGCAAAACGAGUAAAGCCCACAGGAUCCAUUCUUCCCCCUCAGUUAUUAAAUUCCCCAUACCUUCAUGACCAGAAGAGAAAGGAACAACAGAAAGAUAAACAGACACAGAAUGAUCUGGUUACAGGAGCUAAUCUUAUGGAUAUUAUCAGAAAACAUGAUAAAAGUAAUUCUCAGAAAUGAUUUUCUCUGCCACUUGAAUAUUUUUUUUUAUUGUAUAUAGUCAGCAAAAAAUUAUGGUUUGCAUAAAUGGAAAUGUACAUGAAUUUUAAAAAUUUUAAGAUAUUUUUAAUUUAAUAAAAUUUAUAUAACUAUAUUGUAUUUAUUUCCCUUAAUUCUUAUAAAUUAAAAACAUCAGAAAAUGAAUUAUUAAAUAAAAGACAGUGUUUUCUUUUCUG
rnacentral:lncRNA from 10 species